rnacentral:lncRNA from 1 species
GUUGCUCUUGGGUGGCCGCGGCGCCCGCUCCCUCUGAAUUCGCCGGGCAGGGAUACAGCCGCCCGGGGCCUCUUGCUCGUGCUUGGUUUUCCGGACCUUGCUUCCUAAAGGGUCUUUAGGGGUUCCCGGACUCCUCCGCCUGGGAGCCUCUAUCCGCCUGGGAGCCUCUAUGCGCCCCGCAAAGCCCCCGGCAGAGCCGAGGGGAGGCUUCAUUGGCGACCUGGUGGGGCCUCGCGGCCCUGCUCCCUGACGUCAGCGCCGCCGCGGUGAUUUAACAGCUUUUGUUUUGGGCAGAAGAACCUAUGGGCACAAAAAGCAGGAACGAGUAGCGGUGGCUGAAGAACGAGCAGGAGCUUGAAUUUCAGUUUUCUUAUGAGGAAUUUUCCAGAAAAGAUAUCUUCACUGUGAAAUAACUAAAUAAAUGCCCACUCAGUACAGUCACUGUCUCCCUUUUGGAACUUGAUGGCACCUUAAGCCCAGGUUUGCCUCCACUCUAGAAACUCAUCAGAGUGAUGCCCUUCUCAAAUGGGGGAGGUCCCAAAGCGGAUAUCCUGGCAGUGUGAAAGGCCGGCUAAAGGUUUGUGCCAAGAGGAUCUGUGGAAUGCAUCUCCUACAGCUGGUGCUGCUGAGUAACCACUCUGAUCUGGCAUCUUCUUUGAUCAAGUUACAGAGCAGAGUUUCCAGGGCUGGGGAUUGAAGUCCUGCCUCCUCCCUUUGUCUCUGGUUGUCCUCGACAAAAAUACCUGCUACAUGCUUCCUUCUGUAUGAAUACAUGAGACCUACCUUCAUUCAUGUUUCCUCUAUGAAGCUUUCCCUGCACUCCAAACACAGAGCUGAGACUUCCACCUAAUGUAGAAAGCUAGCACGAGCCGGCGCUGACAGAUGGAAGACUUGAGAUGUUACAAGAUUAUAUAUGGAAACACAAAAGGAGUGGAGUUGCUGGGUCAUAUGGCAAUUCAUUUGAGGAACUGAGAAGCUUAUUCCAUGGAGGCUGAACUGUUUUAUAUUCCCACCAGCAACGUGUAAGGUUCCAGUUUAUCUACAUCAUCACCAACACUUGCUAUUUUCCAUUUCAUUAAUGAUAGCCAUCCUAGUGGAUUUGAAGUGGUACCUUAUUAUCGUGGUUUUGAUUGCAUUCUCUAUUGACUAAUGAUAUCGAGCAUCUUUUCAUGUAUUUUUUGGUCAUUUGGUCAUUUUUCUUUUUUAAUUUUAAAAUUUUGAGACAGGCUCUCACUAUGUUGCCCAGGUGGUCUCAAACUCCUGGGUUCCAGCGAUGCUCAUGCCUCAGUCUCCCAAAGGGGUGGGAUUACAGGUGUGAGCCACUUUGCCCAGCCCAUUUGUAUAUCUCCUUUGGAGAAUAUCUAGGUUCUUUUGAAGGUAGCUGCAUAUAAACUAGCCAAAUUAACAGACUGUGGUUUUUAGAUGGCUUUCCAUAUCUACAAGAACUAUUUAGUUCUCAAAACUGGGAAGAAAUGUUUCAGAGGCAUCAUUAAUUCAUAAUCUAAAAAUUUAUCUUGGGUUUCCUUUUUUCCCCCAGAUUCUGUAUCCUCCAUAGUCCUAUUCAUGACAUGGGUCGUUCAUCUCUGUAUUCUAAACCCUCAAUGAACUGUAGACAGUAAUAAAUAUUUAUUGGAUGAA